GACGAACGCUGGCGGCGUGCUUAACACAUGCAAGUCGAACGGAAAGGCCCUGCUUUUGUGGGGUGCUCGAGUGGCGAACGGGUGAGUAACACGUGAGUAACCUGCCCUUGACUUUGGGAUAACUUCAGGAAACUGGGGCUAAUACCGGAUAGGAUCUCCUGCUGCAUGGUGGGGGUUGGAAAGUUUCGGCUGUUGGGGAUGGACUCGCGGCUUAUCAGCUUGUUGGUGGGGUAGUGGCUUACCAAGGCUUUGACGGGUAGCCGGCCUGAGAGGGUGACCGGCCACAUUGGGACUGAGAUACGGACCAGACUCCUACGGGAGGCAGCAGGGGGGAAUAUUGCACAAUGGGAGGAAGCCUGAUGCAGAAACGCCGCGUGCGGGAUGACGGCCUUCGGGUUGUAAACCGCUUUCGCCUGUGACGAAGCGUGAGUGACGGUAAUGGGUAAAGAAGCACCGGCUAACUACGUG
rnacentral:rRNA from 1 species